AUGGAAACGGAUUAUGUUGUUGAGUUGUGGGUCAGCUCGUCUGGUCGUGAUAUACAAUGAUAAUAACGAAGACAAUAAUAACCUGCGGUCGUUUUAAGCUCUCUGUGUGUAAUCGCGCAGAAUCUUGGGAUCUCGGACGCCGGUGAUCCAAUAAAGAAGGUCAUGACUUUGAUUUAAAUUAUUCAUAAUUUAACGUUAGCAACAGACAGAGAUAAUGGGGUACUGAUAAAUACGAACAGAUAUCACAAAUGCAUGCAUAUCCCAAAACCAGAAUAACAGAAAAUGUGAAUAUAAUAUCAGGAGUAACAUUUUCAAAAAGAUACAUUUACAUACCCCCCUUUAAAUCCACCAAAAGAGCACCUUAAAAAACAAUAUUAUCUGAUUGGACUAAUAAUCAAUGGCAGCGGCCAGCAGAGAGAGCUACCAGUUAAUACCUUCGACAAGACAAAGGGAAAAUAAUCAAAACGCUCUCCCAGGUGUGAGGACAACAACGAAACCCCGGGACAGAGAUGGACGAAGAAACAAGAGGGCGUGAGGGCCGCAGGUGGAAAACAAACCACCACGAGAACGAUCAGAAAGCCCCUUUUCUAGACACGAGAUCACCUCAUAUGGGUCAGGACAGGCUCGACCCCGUGUAAACAUGGAAGCAGAGGCCGAGGCCGAGGGUGAGGCUUGAGGGUGAGGAUUGAGGGUGAGGAUCGGUGGGCUGUGAUGUAGCGGCACGCCGUCACAACAGCAUCCAUCGCUGUCAGCGGCAGAACGCGUGUGCUCUCACUGCAAAAUCAGGCAGCACAUGGCCAGCGUGAGUGAGUCACAUUGGUCUGGUAACGAGAGCCUCCGCUCAGGGAGAGUCCCUCCAUGCGUCCUUGGGACUGGGGCCAACCCCCUUUGAGGGUAUCAGGUGCACCGUUCCUCUGGGCAAUGGGAGACUCGUCGGCCCCCGACCACCGAAAGUAGCCGUUUCGCUGCCGUCGCUGUUGUUUUGGCUCAUUUUCAUACACGACACUAGUUCUUCUAAAAACAGAAUUACUGUCUAUGAGACGUUGGGACUCAAGGGGACGCGGCAACUUGGAUGUCUCGCUGACAUGGGCUCGGGGACAGUGCGCAGAGAGGGUCGACCUGCCCGGAAGCAGCCAGAUGUGUGCCCCCCCCCUCCCACCCCGCUACACGCAGUACACAAUGUGACUACAGUAUGAUGAGACAGGCUGCCUGUAAGGACUUGAACUGUGCCUACUUUUCAAAACAAUCUAAAAAACGUCCAAGUGGAUUCCUGCACAGAUAAUUGCACAACCCAUUUGAUGCCUAUAAACACAGUAUAUUAGCUAUUUUCUAGUUAGUGUGAGGCUGCACAGCAAUGUUUUAAGCUAAAGGCUAACAUCAGCCUGCUAACGUCCUCGAAAUGACAAUAAAAACACGUGCAACCUGUCUUGGUUUGGUUAAUUAGCAUACAAACCUUUGCCGAUCAACCCCCUAAUACAUUGUGCAGCUGAGGCUGAUGGGAAUGUUCCCUUGUCUUAAGGUCAAUGGGUUUCUUUAGUCAGCUCUUGGAUGAAUGCCUGUGGUUAACACAAGAUAUUUUAGAGGUUUGUUUCAUGAUAUAAACAAAUCUAUAAAUGUCCCUCUCUUAAAUUCUGAAGCUUUCACAUGUUUGAAAAAGAGAGAGACCACAAAACGCCAUCACGCCGACCAGCUCGCUCUUCACGCCCGUUUUGUGUGGGAUUGUGCUCACAGGUGCAUCGCGUGUUGACGUGACGUCAGCUUUUUAAUCCUGCCGACGGGAAUCACGCUUAAAAAAAUCAAACGAGUCGUGAUUAGUUGUGAGUCUGUUUUCCUGCAACAAUCCGUAAUCCAACGGAGGAAUCCCGUUGACCUUUUGUUGAGAGAACCGUGUCAAUGGCAUCCAACCAUUCAUAGUGAAUCGGGUUGCAGUAGUUACACCAGUAUAAACACUUUAACGCGGGCUAAUUCACGUCUGUUUAUUUGAUUGGCAUACCGGGAGCAGCUCAUCGCUGUCAUACCUUCGCAAGUACUGUGUAAUAUCUGCA
ensembl:lncRNA